rnacentral:rRNA from 1 species
GACGUAGGAGGCGAGCGUUGUCCGGAUUCAUUGGGCGUAAAGAGCACGCAGGCGGUUUGGCAAGUCGGAUGUGAAAACCCGAAGCUCAACUUCGGGCCUGCAUCCGAAACUGCCCGACUAGAGGUAGGUAGGGGAGAUCGGAAUUCCUGGUGUAGCGGUGAAAUGCGCAGAUAUCAGGAGGAACACCGGUGGCGAAGGCGGCUUCCUGGACCGACACUGACGCUGAGGCGCGAAAGCUAGGGGAGCAAACGGG